rnacentral:rRNA from 1 species
UAUUGGACAAUGGGGGCAACCCUGAUCCAGCCAUGCCGCGUGAGUGAUGACGGCCUUAGGGUNGUAAAGCUCUUUUCUCCGGGACNNUANNNANGGUACCGGAGGAAUAAGCACCGGCUAACUUCGUGCCNNNAGCCGCGGUAAUACGAAGGGGGCUAGCGUUGCUCGGAAUCACUGGGCGUAAAGGGCGCGUAGGCGGCUGAUUUAGUCGAGGGUGAAAGCCCGUGGCUCAACCACGGAAUGGCCUUCGAUACUGAUUGGCUUGAGACCGGAAGAGGACAGCGGAACUGCGAGUGUAGAGGUGAAAUUCGUAGAUAUUCGCAAGAACACCAGUGGCGAAGGCGGCUGUCUGGUCCGGUUCUGACGCUGAGGCGCGAAAGCGUGGGGAGCAAACAG